CAGUCUAAGACCCGUCCCACUGUACUGUUACCUUGGAAACCUGUGAACCAGCCAGAAGAAGGUAAUGCGCAGAGAGAUGGCCGCCACAAAGUAACCGCGUCCUGGCUCAGUGAGAAGACUUAUAUUAGGAGCAAUUUUGUCUUUCGUGUGACCUUGGGGAAUUCUUCCGCGCAGCAAUGGCAAGACCUUCUGGGAGUUGUAGUUCUACAGAAGUCCUCGGCUUCAGAGCCCUCUCCAUCUUCCACCUUUCAUUCCCAGGGCGGGUGCGGUCGCGGACAACCACAGCGCGCCCGGCGCCGGGGCGGUGGCCCCGCAGCCCAGGGUGGAGGCGGAGGCGCCCACCAGCCACCGUCUAGGCCGUCGUGCGAGCAGCUGAGAUGGCGUGGUGGCGGUAGCAGCUCCAGGCUGGCGCAGUGGCGGCAGUGCCAUGCGGGGCCGCCGCGCGGGGGCAGGUAGUCCCAGCUACCAGCGCGCCAGCCCCCGAGCUUGUCAACCGACCAGUAGCGGCCGGGCGGCGGCCCGAGGCGCUCCGCAUACGGGUAGGGGAAGUCGGCGAACCACCAGGGCUCCAGGCCACCGAGCGACGCUCCGCCCAGGCUCUCCGAAUCCUCGGAGUCCGAAGGCGAAGGCUCGAGGUCCAGGAGCGGGCGGAGAUGGGAAGCCCGGGAAGGCGCCGGCGGGGGGCUCGGCCGGCUCUUGCUCGCGCACGAUGGCGAAGGGCGGCGGAGCAGCCUCAGCGCUGCAGCAGCUGUACAUACCCUGUGAGAGACGGCCCCUGCCUCCUCGCUCCCUUUCUUACCCUGGAGAAGGCCAGUAGGAAAUCCAUGCGGUGGGUGGGCCCCAGACAGUGCCGCAGUCGCCAGUACACAAGGUGUUCCCAGGCGAAGACCAGCAAGGAGAGGCCCAUGGCCACGAGGAGCAUGUAGAAGACACCUGCCAUGUUGUCGAUAUCCAGCUUGCUGCUCAUCACCUCGAUUUUGUCGUUGUGGCAGAUCCCUGAAAGCCACAGCCGCUCCAGCAUCUCAAUCUCAUCUGAGGAUGAGGACCGAGGGCCAGCCCUCCCCUCUUCCAGAGUAGGACUUCAUGCCCAGCCUAGCCGCACCGUCCCCCAGGAACUGCAGCAGCGCCAGGUCGAUGGGCCUCUUCCAGCGGGAGCCCUUGUGUAGGGCGAUGCCAUAACCAGUGGUGGCGAAGACCUUGCCUGAGCCGAUGGUGACCAGCUUGCAGCCCUCAUCCUUUCGGGCCAUGUAGUUGAGCACUGCUGCGUCAUAGAUGAAGGCGUCCAGUUUCCUGAGGACAGGGGCAUGAAAGACAGGGGGGAAGAUCGGGAAGUCAAGUCAUCCCCAAGUGUGGGGAGCACUACCGACCUUCCCCCCUAAUCUCAGCUUCUGGAGACUGCCAGCCCCAGGGAACUGGCACCUGCUUGUUCUCAUUCCCAGCCCGGCCAUGGCACACACAGAAUAAGUUGUGUGAAUGAGGCCGGGUGGUGGUGCCACCCACCUUUAGUUCCAGCACUUGAGAGGCAGAGGUAGGUGAUUCCUGAAUUCAAGGCCGGCCUGGUCUAUAGAGUGAGUUCCAGGACAGCCAGGGCUACACAGAGAAACCCUGUCUCAAAAAACAAAACAAAACAAAACAAACAAACAAAACAAAACAAAACGAAACAAAAAAGUUGUGUGAAUGAAUAGUCCACAUCAGUAUAUGAUAUUUGUGAUCUGACAGGCAGAGAAGUCCAGAGUGUAUUAAUAAAACCGGACUUGGAAUCCCAGUUAUAUGGUAACUCCAUGUUUUAAUUACUUUAUUUUGGGUUUUUGAAAAGGAUUUUAUUUUUAAUUACUUGCAUAUAUGAGGGGUAUAUUGCAUGUUCAUGCAGGUGCCUGGGGAGCCCAGGAGGAGAGUUAGGAACUGAACUCAGAUCCUCGAAGUACACACUUGGAACUGUUGAGACACCUCUCUGUUGCAGGAUAUUUGAUUACACUGGGAACCCCCUGUGUUAUUUACUGAAAAUACCUGUUUUUAGUUGUGUGGCUCAGCCCUUAGCACACACCUUUAAUCCCUCUGGCUAGGAAGUC
rnacentral:lncRNA from 1 species